AUGCAGUGAUGACUUUAAUUUCUUGAACUGAAACUAGCCAUGAUGCUUUUUGAGCUUUUUAACCCUGAGCAUU